UCUCUUUCUGUCUCUCCAUAUGUCUCUCUUUCUGUCUCCAGAGAGAGACAGAAAGAGAGACAUAUGGAGAGACAGAUAGAGA
rnacentral:pre_miRNA from 1 species